AUCUGGGUAAUGGCAUGUAUUUUAGUGCGUCGCUGUGAGCUUUUUAAAUUCAGUGUAGAGAACAACAGUCGGUGCAGCGGCUGGUUGCAGCUUUGCAGAGUCUCAUCAUCACAGGAAAGUUGUCAGGUUCAUUGUGUUUGUUCAGAGAAUAAAGCCUCAAACACGAGGCAGCCUUCUAUACUAGGGAUGAGAAACAUCAUGGAGCAGAUUCAUGCUGCUUAGUCUGACUCAGUUUGAUAACAAUCCUCAGCAGAAAUCAGUCAAAGGACUCAAUAGGUCAAGUUCACUCAGGUUGGAUGAGGAGAAACGGUGCAGGUCGGGUUAAUUGUGUCGAAGUGUGCUGGUUAAUGAGCCUCACAGAGCGGACAGAGCGCCUGUUUGACUAAUGAGAGCAUCUGUCGAAGUGCAGCAGCCUGCAGCACGCACACACACACACACACACACACACGGAGCGCAGUGUGUCCCAGGAGGAAGGGAACUCUGCUUUCACUUCUCUCUCAUCAGAGUCUCUGUCAACUUCAAUCUGUCUCCCAUCUCAUCUCUGUGACGAUGCCCUCUCCACUUCCACUGAUACAGAAACCCACGCAACAUCUUCAUCAUCACCUCAUCCCGAGAUUCUCCAUCCGCUGCAUUUCUGCAGGGGUCAAAGGUCAAUGCACAGCCCGAGGGAGGACAUUCAAGUUUACAUAAACACAUUCUGCUACUCAACAUUUGGAUCAAACAUUUAAACAUGUACUGAUUUAUUUAUCUUCUAUUCAGUUGCUUGCUGACCUCAACAGCAGCCAAACCAAAAAAUGGAUUUAACAGCCCUCAUAACCAUCAGAGGAGGACAUUUUUGACCCUGUGUCAGUAAUAGUAUUCAUUUAAAGAUGUUCAAUUGUUUUCAUUUUCAACUGCUUUACAAAUCAUCAGUAGAAGAGGACAUGGUCAGGGUCAAAAAGUAUGCAUGGGGCUUUUUUCAUGCUAAAAAUGGCUUUAAAUUCAGAAAUAUUGAUUAACAGUUUACAACAUCCACAGAAAUUACAGAUAAUAUUUUAUGUAAGGUUAUACUGAACAAGCUCAUGGUUGAGUAAGUCAAAAUAUAUAUUGUUUUGUUUGUUUGAACCUAUGAAGGAAAAAGAAUGGUUGGAGAACAU